rnacentral:rRNA from 1 species
GACGUAGGGGGCCAGCGUUGUUCGGAAUUACUGGGUGUAAAGGGUUCGUAGGCGGUGUAGCAAGUUGGGAGUGAAAUCUCUGGGCUCAACUCAGAGGCUGCUUCCAAAACUGCUGUGCUGGAGUGUGGGAGAGGCGCGUGGAAUUGCAGGUGUAGCGGUGAAAUGCGUAGAUAUCUGCAGGAACACCCGUGGCGAAAGCGGCGCGCUGGACCACUACUGACGCUGAGGAACGAAAGCUAGGGGAGCAAACAGG